UUGGAGAGUUUGAUCCUGGCUCAGGAUGAACGCUGGCGGCGUGCCUAAUACAUGCAAGUCGAGCGAACAGACGAGGAGCUUGCUCCUCUGACGUUAGCGGCGGACGGGUGAGUAACACGUGGAUAACCUACCUAUAAGACUGGGAUAACUUCGGGAAACCGGAGCUAAUACCGGAUAACAUGUUGAACCGCAUGGUUCAACAGUGAAAGACGGUCUUGCUGUCACUUAUAGAUGGAUCCGCGCCGCAUUAGCUAGUUGGUAAGGUAACGGCUUACCAAGGCAACGAUGCGUAGCCGACCUGAGAGGGUGAUCGGCCACACUGGAACUGAGACACGGUCCAGACUCCUACGGGAGGCAGCAGUAGGGAAUCUUCCGCAAUGGGCGAAAGCCUGACGGAGCAACGCCGCGUGAGUGAAGAAGGUCUUCGGAUCGUAAAACUCUGUUAUUAGGGAAGAACAAAUGUGUAAGUAACUAUGCACGUCUUGACGGUACCUAAUCAGAAAGCCACGGCUAACUACGUGCCAGCAGCCGCGUA
rnacentral:rRNA from 1 species